GCGGAAACGAUGGUAGCUUGCUACCAGGCGUCGAGCGGCGGACGGGUGAGUAAUACUUAGGAAUCUACCUAGUAGUGGGGGAUAGCACGGGGAAACUCGUAUUAAUACCGCAUACGACCUACGGGAGAAAGGGGGCAGUUUACUGCUCUCGCUAUUAGAUGAGCCUAAGUCGGAUUAGCUAGAUGGUGGGGUAAAGGCCUACCAUGGCGACGAUCUGUAGCUGGUCUGAGAGGAUGAUCAGCCACACCGGGACUGAGACACGGCCCGGACUCCUACGGGAGGCAGCAGUGGGGAAUAUUGGACAAUGGGGGAAACCCUGAUCCAGCCAUGCCGCGUGUGUGAAGAAGGCCUUUUGGUUGUAAAGCACUUUAAGCAGUGAAGAAGACUCUUCGGUUAAUACCCGGAGACGAUGACAUUAGCUGCAGAAUAAGCACCGGCUAACUCUGUGCCAGCAGCCGCGGUAAUACAGAGGGUGCAAGCGUUAAUCGGAAUUACUGGGCGUAAAGCGAGCGUAGGUGGCUUGAUAAGUCAGAUGUGAAAUCCCCGGGCUUAACCUGGGAACUGCAUCUGAAACUGUUAGGCUAGAGUAGGUGAGAGGGAAGUAGAAUUUCAGGUGUAGCGGUGAAAUGCGUAGCGGAGAAAAACAGCAUAGAAAGGUGUGCCUGAAUCACUUACAAGUGUUGAGAAACCCCCGGGAGAAUAACACCACGGGGACAUACCUUAAUGAAAACUUUAUGGGCCUUGGAGUGGGUCAAGAUGGGGAAAGUAAAAUUCCAGGUGUAUGCGGUGGAAAUGGUUAAGAAGAUCGGAAGGGAUUCCAGAUGCCGAAGGCAUCUUACCUGGCUUCAUUAAUGACACUGAAGGCUCUGAAAGCGUGGGUAGCAAACCAGGAUUUAGAUACCCGGGUAGUCCAACCCAGUAAACGAUGUUUAUUAGUUCGUUAGGUCCAUGGAGGGCUUAAUGGACGCAGCUAACGCAAUAAGUAGAGCCGCGUGAGGAGUAGCGGCCGCAAGGUUAAAAACUCAAAUGAAUUGACGGGGGCCCGCACAAGCGGAGGAGCAUGUGGUUUAAUUCGAUGCAACGCGAAGAAACCUUGACCUGGUCUUGACAUAUCUAGAAUCCUGCAGAGAUGCGGGAGUGCCUUCGGGAAUUAGAAUACAGGUGCUGCAUGGCUGUCGUCAGCUCGUGUCGUGAGAUGUUGGGUUAAGUCCCGCAACGAGCGCAACCCUUGUCCUUAGUUACCAGCGGGUUAAGCCGGGAACUCUAAGGAUACUGCCAGUGACAAACUGGAGGAAGGCGGGGACGACGUCAAGUCAUCAUGGCCCUUACGACCAGGGCUACACACGUGCUACAAUGGUAGGUACAGAGGGCAGCUACACAGCGAUGUGAUGCGAAUCUCAAAAAGCCUAUCGUAGUCCAGAUUGGAGUCUGCAACUCGACUCCAUGAAGUAGGAAUCGCUAGUAAUCGCGGAUCAGAAUGCCGCGGUGAAUACGUUCCCGGGCCUUGUACACACCGCCCGUCACACCAUGGGAGUUGAUUGCACCAGAAGUGGAUAGCUUAACCUUCGGGGAGGC
rnacentral:rRNA from 1 species